UCCCUGAAAGCUCAGUUGGUAAAGAAUCUGCCUGCAAUGCAGGAGACCUGGGUUCAAUCCCUGGAUUGGGAA
rnacentral:tRNA from 1 species